GGGGGCGGACACCUUUAAAAAAAAAUCAAAGAGUGCCCCAAAUAUAACGCUAAAAAGAAAAAAUGCAAUUUUCAGAUGAGAAAUUGGAGGUCCCAAAAGGUAAAGUGACUUGUUCAAAAAUCACAUGGCUGGUGAGCAGAGCAGCUGGAAUCCCAUCCUGUCUCCGCUUUCAACAAGCCCUGUUUUUUGAGUACAUCACCAGUCAUGGAAUGGCCCACAGUUUGUGUUUCUCAGACCCCCUUCUCAGUUCUGAAUUUAAGCAGGAGGGGAACAGGAUCUGCUUUCUAUUUUGAAAAAAGUAGUUUUCAGAAAAGCAAGAUUGGAAGCUGAGAAACAAGAUAUCCUGGGACUAGAAGAGACAUUAAAGAUCCUUUAGGCCAGCCGGGCCCCAUGGCUCACAUUUAUACCACUAGACUUAGUUUUCCUGAAUGUAAACUUCAACCCCUGAUUAUAAGGACUCUGUAAGGCU
rnacentral:lncRNA from 1 species